GAUGGUAUUGACGCCUGGGGCGCAGGAACCAACGCCGUCGUCUCCUCCGAGCAGCCCCGCCGCCCUCAACUCUUCCCAUUGGCCCCUUGUGGUGGCCCCGCCUCCCCCGACCUCUACUCCGUCGGCUGUUUGGCCUCCACCUUCCUCCCCGACGACGUCACCAUGACCUGGCAGAACCACCUCAACCAGAGCGUCACCCGCGGCGUCACCCGCUACCCCUCGGUGGCCAUUUCCGGCACCUACACGGCCAGCAGCCAUCUUGGGUUGCCCCUCUUGGAAGGGAAGAGCCAACAGCCCUUCUACUGCAAGGCCACCCAUCCCGAAGGGAUUGUGGUCAUCGAGGUGCACAACGAGGGCUCCUUUCCUCUCCCUGAGGUCUCCAUCCACCCACCUUCCGCUGAGGACUUCCUGGGUCCCCACCUCAACUCCAGCAUCUUCUGUCACGUCCUGGUGUCCAAGGCCACCCCCACUUCCGUCGUCCAAUGGCUGAAGAACGGGAAGGUCCUCCAGGAGGGCGUGACCAACGAGCGCUUGGUGGCCGCUCAAGGCCAAGGCCCCGACGUCAUCGACAGUCGCCUCAGCGUCACCAAGGCAGAGUGGGAUGCUGGGAAUGUCUACACGUGUCGGGUGGAGGACGAGAUGAGGAACACCAGCAAGGCCCUGGAGUGCGGGAUUGUCCCCGGCAGCGGUGAGGACAUCAAGGUGCAAGUCAUCCCUCCGGCCUUCAUCGACAUCUUCCAAGACAAGGUGGCCAAGUUGACCUGUCAAGUGUCCAACCUCCCCAGCUCGGAUGGCUUGGAGAUCUCCUGGUGGACAGAAAGUGGGGAGAAACUGGCCACCAAGAUGUCCUCUCAAACCCUCCAACCCAACGGGCUCUACAGGGUGGAGGGCGUGGCCAGCGUCUGCGCCGACCAAUGGGACAAGGGGGAGGUCUUCACUUGCAAGGUGACCCACCCUGAGCUGCUCUUCCCCACCGAGGUCACGUUGCAGAAGACCAAGGGUCGUGACGUCAAAGCCCCCUCCAUCUACGUCUUCCCCCCUCCUGCUGAGCAACUGGCCGCUCACGAAACCGCCACCGUCACGUGUUUGGCCAAAGGCUUCAACCCCCCCGACAUCUUCUUCCGGUGGCUCCGCAACGGCGACGUCAUCCCGGAAACCGAUUACGUCACCACCCCCGCCAUGUUGGAAGCUCAUCAAACCACUUCUUACAUCACUUACAGCUCCUUAAGCAUCGGGGGUGAUGAUUGGGCGGCCGGGAAUGUUUAUACUUGUUUGGUGGGACACGAGGAGCUCCCGAUGCAGGUGACGCAGAAAUCGGUCGACAAAGCUUCCGGUAAACCCGCCAACGUCAACGUCUCCCUCGUCCUCUCCGACUUGGCCAACACCUGUUAUUAAACCUCUCACUUAUUUCUACUUUUAUUAAGCAAAAAAAAAAGCAAAAAGCAAAAAAAAAGCAAUAAAAAAAUCGAUUUGAUACAAAAAA